rnacentral:lncRNA from 1 species
GGGGAAUGCCUGGCCAGUGGCUAUCUCCUCCUCUUUCUCCUCCUCCUCCUCUUCCUCAAACUCGGGUUCCAGCUGGGUCUCAAACUCAGGCUCCAACUGGGUCUCAGUCUCCGACUCCUCCCAGCCAGCGGUGGUUGGCGGUAUGAGGCCCCAGGGCUCUAUGGUAGUGCUCAGGGUGGUGGCAGGGGCAGGGGGCAGCG